CGGGAUGUAGCGCAGCCUGGUAGCGCACCUGCUUCGGGAGCAGGGGGUCGCUAGUUCGAAUCUAGUCAUCCCGACCA
rnacentral:tRNA from 10 species